CUAGAGACAAAUGGUAAGGGAGGGGUGGUUAGAGAGCAUCCAAAGCACUUAUAUGCAUGCAUAUUAGCAUAGCCAAUGGACAGAGACACUGGGUCAGUGGGGCCUGCCC